rnacentral:rRNA from 1 species
AGUGAACGCUGGCGGUAGGCCUAACACAUGCAAGUCGAACGGCAGCACAGUAAGAGCUUGCUCUUACGGGUGGCGAGUGGCGGACGGGUGAGGAAUACAUCGGAAUCUACUUUUUCGGGGGGGAUAACGUAGGGAAACUUACGCUAAUACCGCAUACGACCUACGGGUGAAAGCAGGGGAUCUUCGGACCUUGCGCGAUUGAAUUAGCCGAUGUCGGAUUAGCUAGUUGGCGUGGUAAAGGCCCACCAAGGCGACGAUCCGUAGCUGGUCUGAGAGGAUGAUCAGCCACACUGGAACUGAGACACGGUCCAGACUCCUACGGGAGGCAGCAGUGGGGAAUCUUGGACAAUGGGCGCAAGCCUGAUCCAGCAAUACCGCGUGGGUGAAGAAGGCCUUCGGGUUGUAAAGCCCUUUUGUUGGGAAAGAAAAGCAGCAGGUUAAUCCCCCGCUGUUCUGACGGUACCCAAAGAAUAAGCACCGGCUAACUUCGUG